CCGCGCCCGGCGGCGGCGCUGGGUUGCUAGGCAACGGCGGGUCGCUUCCGGAAGCUGCAGCGAUCACUUCCGGGAUCGGGAGGUCACUUCCGGGAGGCGCGUUCUGCGUGGGGGGGGGCGCCGCCAUGGGCCGCGCGGGGAUGGCGCUGCGCGAUUAUUCGGCCGGGUUUGCGUAAUUACAGAAACACCUGCCCUAAUAUCUGCCUUUUCCGUUAGAGUGCUGUAUGUGCGGGCCCCAGCCGUGAGGUUGAGCCUGAACUGAGGCUUUGAUCAACACUCAGCUGCAUAUAAGCCUGUGAGCAGGGCUUAAGGCGCUGCAGUAUCUCGCCGUUCCGUUAGGGGGCGCAGCGCCGCUCAGCUCCGGGCCGGGAUGCUGGGAGCGAUUCGGGCGCUUUCUGAGAGCAUUUUAGUAGCAAAAUUGAGCUCAUAAUCGCUCCCUUUGGGUGCAGGAAGGGCGCUGCGUGCUCUAAAGAUUUUUUCUUUCUGACAGUCUAGAAGAUCGGGAAUACACAGUGCAGGAAAGGCAGGCCUGCUUUCAAACCAGGUCGUUGAGCCUUUUUAUUCUCACGGCGGAAGUUCUGACUGCUGUCUGCUCCUCAAAUGCUGGUUUUUAAGACCUUGAAAGAUCUUCUCAGCACCUCGAUUCUGCAGCUCAAUCCAUGCCCAAUUCCUGUGGGCGCAGUGUUGUUACUAAGGCUAGAAACAGCUGUGACAUUUAUCACCACAGUUCUCCCGUGGAAACUGUUCUUAGCAGUGUCACUUUUCAGACUCAGAGAUGCUGUGACUUAUAGGUUGCUACCAAUCCUGUUCUCUGUUACUCAGCGAGAAACAACGCAAACCAACUUACUGCCUGUGAAGAAGCAGCAUCUGCCUCUCUGAACGUCAUCACUGCAGCAGCUUAUUUAACAGCAAGGAGGUUCUGCAGCACUGUGCCUGCGAGGGGUUCCCGUUCCGGGCAGCACUGCUGCCUCCGGAGCUUUGCUGCUGAAGCAGAACAACUCCAGGCCCUUUGAGGUGUAAGAUUCCUCAGUGAUACUGCGUGCGCGUUCUCUGUACAGCAUAAGCAAGAGUUGAGUUGCCAGGCGUUGUAAUUCAGACGUGCUUUUAUUGUGUUACAAAAAAAAAAAAAAAAAAAAAAAAAAAGGAAACCACAGCUAUAAAAAUAACACAUUUUCCAAAGAUAACGUUCCAAAAAGUACUACUGGUAACAUGGUUGGACUGUAUCGGUUAAUACUGUUGAAGAAGCUUUAGUUAACGUUGAAAACAUGUUUUUAAAGCACCUCUGGAUGUGUCUGCCCACCAGGAGGAGGUGGAGCUGGGAAUGUGUUUGCUGGCAGCACUGCUUUCUGCUGAGCUGCUUGUCAGCCUGAAGCAACAGCUACGUUAGGCCUGGAACAAAUGGCCAGAAGCAGCAAACCAAGCUGGAAGGACCUCACGCCCUCAUUGAGGCCAUCUCCCCGCUCCAAGGUGGGAUCAAACUCAUCCCCACCUCACUGUUAACUGCCUCCAACCCUCACCUGUGGUGCAGGGAGGAAUCACACAGAGCUGCAACUCCGUGGGAGCCUUCAGGCGUUUCCCACUGUGCGUUCAUGUGACAUAAUUCACAGGAGGGAAAAACAUCUGAAUUUUGAAUAGAUAAGUCUUGAGACACGAUUUUCUGCUAGAACAUAAAACUAAUGGCUUGACACUAUUGUCUCAGGAGUAUCAAUUUUUAUAGCUUACAUGAAAAUAAAUCUUUUCUUCUCCUUGCAGCACAAUGAGCAUACUGUAUGUACAUUGUGUUGUUGAUACACACAAACAUUUAAGUACGUGAACACAUCUGGAACUGAUGAAGAGGUCAGCUUCUGCUCUACAAGGAACUGAAAGGAACACAUCUUCUGGCAGUCCAUGAGGAAAGCAGACAUGCUUUGUGUCAGUCAAUGGCAGAUACUCAUACAGGAAUGGAGCAGAUAAGGGCUAAAUCGUUUUUUCACCAUGAUCAGGACCUGCUGGUAUUCGACACCACUGAGAACACAGAACAGAGUUCAUCAGAUCUCAUUUCUGACAGUCUGGAGGAACCAAUGAAGAGGCUAUUGUGGUUGCUACCAAGAACUGAACCACUGUUAAAUGUGAACGACUAGAAAUGAUGCAUAAAUGGAAGACAUAAAUCAUGGGGAGUACAUAUUCUGUAACAGAUCUUCAGAGGUUUCUGCUGAAUUACCUACGCUGAGUAACUGGAGGGAGCCUGAGCUACCCGAGGAGGAAGACGGCCCAUGCCUUAGUUUGGACAGCAAAGUCAGUCUCUGCAACUUACAGACUAACUGCAGGGGUAUUCUGUGCAUAGUACUGGGCUGCUGUUAUGCAGCUCUGGUAACUGAAUGUACAGGUGCUCUGACCUUGGUGAGAUGUCUGUUGAAACAUCUAUGUUCUACUUAAAGACAAGCAGUAAAAAGCAUCUGUGGACAUGCUGGCAUAUUCCUCAUGGAAAUGAACUAUGUGGACCAACUUCCAGACAUCAUUACUAAGGAAGGCAAAGGUGGAAGUUCACAAAGCUGUGUAGCAGUUUGACAUGCAGGAAAAGAUUCAUGUUCAGGAGGGCUUAAUUUUUUAAUUAAGCGAGGACAGAUUACCCAGAGGUGAAUGAGGGUAAGAGGUGUUUCUAACUGGUAGGUAGCUGGGCUUUGAUUUUUAAGAUGAGAAGAAUGGUCUACAUGAUUUCAUGAGCAGUGAUUUCUCAGUUGGAACCAGUGGCCAGUUGACCAGUUGCUAGACAGAUCUGAAGGUUAGAGUAAGGGACAACAGCAAGAAACAUUAGAGGACAACACAGAAAGGGCAUCUGCUGCCCUCCCUACCUGACUAGGCUGGGAUCAGGGUUGUAGGGUGGAGGAGGGGUGCAGUGCGAUCCUGAGACCAUGGACUGGGACGAGUGGCCCCCAUUCAUUUCUCCAUUGGGUUGCAUGGGGUGGCUGUUCAGCAUUCCAGGUCCUAGGCAGCAACCGUGUCAACAUGACAGACAGAUCAGUUAGACAGAACUAAGACACGACAACCCCUGUCCCUCACUGGGGGUCCUGCUGGGCAGGGAGGGCCCCCACAAGCUGGGACCACUGGUUGUGUGCUCUGCUGCAAUGGGAACCUUACCCAUUGGCCCCAGGCUUGGUGCUGAGCCAGAGCUGUGCUGUGCUGGCUGCCCAACCAGCUGGUUGACAGAGGGUAGCUUGUUGAUUCCUCCUCCAUGGGCUUUAUUCAUGGGUGAGAGGACAGGGCCGUAGGAGGAAGGCGUCUGCAGCUGAUUUCUGCUCAGGAAAGAGAGAGCAGGCAAUGAACAUCCAGCAGGAGGAUGUGGAGCCAGCUGGCCACCCCAGACCUUCUGUCUGCCUGCUCAGGCUGCCUGUGCUGAGGUUUCAGGCAGCACUGACGAAGGCUGGAUUGCAAUGAUUCCAAGACAAGCCCAAGACCAAUUGUACUGGUGCAGAAUUGGCUGGGCUGCAUUUACGUCAGGCGACAGCCACAUAUGUCUGUGGAAAGUCCCUGCAGAUGGAGAACUCACUGCAGGGCAGGCCCCCUAGGAAGGUUCAUAUCCAGUGCUGUAGCUUAUGCUUCCUACAGUGCUGUAAAAAAUAGCAGUUGCAGCAGUGCUGAUCGGUUUGCAGAGCUGCAAUGGGCACUCGGGGGCACUGGGAUGGCACUUACUGCCUCUGCAGGAGCUGCUGCUGUUGCUGCCGGUAGGAGUCAACCAGCUGCUGCGGGACCAGCUCCACCAGCUCCAGGCUCUCCUUUAUCUUCAUCAGGAUCUCGAAGUUCUCCCUGCCUCGCACCUGGAGGAGGGAAGAAGCCCAGCUCUCACCAUGGCCCCUUUUUUCUACGUGCAGCCACACAAACCCAAUCCUUCAUGAGACCACAUCCCCAAGAGUUUCCCUUGCCAUGCCUGCAGCCAUGAUGGGCAGCUGCUUAGCAGUGUGGCUCACUGACACUUACAGGCACAUAAUACAUCUCCUCCUCCCCGUGUCUCCGUUUCUUAACGCCUGGCCCCAGUGCUGGGAUUGCCUGCGGGCUCUGUUUGAAUGCUGGAAAGGAGAGGGGGAAAAAUGUUAGCAGAAGAUGAAAGUCAAAUCUGGCAGUGGCAACAGCUGUGUCCUCUGGGCACGCAGGAGCAGUGUGCUUUGCAAGCCUUUACUGAAAAGAGGGAAAUAGCUAUCUCUAAGAGAAUUAGCUUGACGUAUCCCAAAUGUGUGCUGUCACUCAGGAAUUAUGGCUCUAGGAAUUUUGUGUGUGUGUUUUUUAAGAAAAUUUCAUUUUUUUUCUCUCAUUUCCAUUCUCCUGUGCCCUGCUGUCCUUGGGAGAACGGGACACAGCUGGUAACACCUUGGUUCCCUGAAAUAUUUUAGCUCACAUCAUGCACAAUGCUUGCUGCUUAACUGUAUUAUGUCCUUGAUGAAGUUCCUUCAAAAACAGUAACAACAAAGAACAAAUACAUCUGGACAGAAAGGCCCUAUGCUAAUAUCACUGCACUCCUCUCUGCAAAAAGAGAGGAGGUCCUACUUCUGAGAUUCAGAGGAGAAAGGUUGAAGCAUUAUGCCCUGGCGUGGGUCUAAGUCUGAACUUCUGGAGCACAGUGAUUUUGGUUGCAAGGGGAAUGGUGCUGAAGCAGAAGGAUCUGCAUUGCUUUGCAGAGCAGUGCAAGCUAGGAGUUCAAGACUGUGAUAGAGCAGUGCCCUGAGGCACCCUCCCUCUCCUGGAGAGCAGACUCACUGCGUUUGUUGGCGUUGCCAUUUUUAGCUGCAUUCUCAUUCAGGGCUUGUUGCUCUCGGUAAUGGUCUUCAUCAGCUUUCCGGUCUCUGCCAGGACAGGCACAGAUCCGUCCCUCAAAUGAUCGCCUUCCUAGGACUUGGCCACUAGGAGGAGAGAGGAAUUGGUGAAUUUGUUUCUGCCAGGGACGUUCACCUGGGCUCAGCCCAGCAUGUUAUGGCCUGGCUCAGAUUCCUGGGUGUGGGGAGCCCCUCUGCGAACAGCCAGAGCAGGAGCAGUCUCCUGUGGGAGGAGGAGCUCCUGGGGCAGAGGAAGGCUUCAGCUGUGUGGGGAGAAGCCAGCACUGCAAUGGGUCCACUGUACCUCCCCUGCCCACUUCCUAGCCAGCAGAAAGCAGCCUUUCCCCUAAGGCAAGAAUGGUGCUCCGGCAGCCACUUACUCUCUCGUCUCCAGGGUGAUGAUAAUGAGGAUGGGUCUCCUGUUCAUUCCUCCCACACAGCUGCUGUUGCACAUGAAGUUGUACAGGAUAGUGGUGAACUCGGUCCCCACCUGCCCAGGAGAGGGGAGCAGACACUGAGGAAAGAGUAAAGGCAUCCCUUUGGGCAGGGCUGUGCCCUGAGUGCCUUUGCAGGUCAAGCAGAAGGAGCAGUGGGAAGGGGAAGAGUGGUGACAUGUGGCCCUGCAGUGAUGGGGACAGUCCUAGGUGGGGAAAGAGGAUGCUGCAAGGGCAGUGGGAUCUCUGAGGGGGAGGCUCAGGCCUUAUGUACCCCACCACCCAGGAAUGGGGUGCUCAGAGCAGGCAGACGAGGGUUUGGAUGUGCCAGUGAGUGCCACCAGACUCCCGCCCCGGACACAAAUCUUCCUCCAACAAAGCAGAUGUCACCAGCAGGUUCACCCCUCAACACUGGGACAAGAGCUGGUUCUGCUCCCCACCACCCCCGAAGCAGCUAGGUACCUGUGGGGGCUCGUAGGGCACCAUCACACUCUGCCGUCCUGUCACAGGGUCGUCCACGUACUGGGAGAGGUUAUUGCCUUCCACUCUGAUGAGGUGGCUGGCUGGGGCUGACUGGCCUGUAAGUCAAGUGCUUGUGGUUAGGACCUGGAGCUUCAUCCUGCACAGGGCAGCAGCGCCUGUCCCAUCAGCUCUUCCCAGCCACGUUUUGCAGCUGGGGCUGUGCCCUGUAGGGGUGACAACAGCACUCACCAUCAUUAAAGUCACGCCCCAGCUCAUGGUUGGGGCAGCGUUUCACCACUUCUGUCACGUGCUCGGCCUUCUUGUAGACAGGCAUGGCCCGGAUGAUGGUGCCCGGUGGCGGUGGGCUGGACACCUUGAUCUGGAUGGGACAUGUCUUGGCAAUCUGACAGUAGAGCUUCUUCAGCAGUGGGGAGUACUGGAAUAGAAGAGAGACCUGCGUUAGCAAAGCUCGUGAGCAGCAAAUGGAAAACAUGGACAUGCAGCUCAGCAUGCACCGUGGGCAGCAAGGAGCCCCGGGUGCCUGCUGCCCUGUGCCUGAGGGGUGCUUUGUGCACGUGGAGGGCUGAGCACUGUGGCUCUUGCACCGCGCUCAGGCAGGCGCCUGCUUUCCCACAGCUCCUCUGAUCCACCCACCUUCUGCCUCCUGAAUGCUCCCAGUGAGAUGCCAGCAUGGCAGCAAAGCAGCGUAUUAAAAUAAUGACUCGUUAUAAAACCAAUUGCUGCCUAUUGUACUGUAACCGCUCCGGGGGUGCUGUGCCAGCGCAGGAUUCCCCGUGUGUUGGCUGUGCUGAUGCACAUGCUCUUGUGAAGCUGCACAAGAGAUAGCUGCCUUGCAAACUGCUAUUGCACAUGCAUGUACGGGACAUUGUGUGUUGUUCUGCAGUAACUUCUUACCCCAAGGCUCAGCAUUUGUUUCUCCACAGCAAUGCUUAAAUGUGACCAAGUUCACCUGCACAACAGUGUCCACUUUCCGCACAAGUCAGAUCUCACCAACUACUGGAUGCAGUGUGGGACCUUCCAGGGAGGCUUUCCCAGCUGGCACCAUGGGCUAAGGAAUCCAUGCUUCACAUUGCAUAAUAGAAUUACAGCUAAUUAGGCAAGAUGUCAGACAUUAAUUAUGUCUAGUAAGUGUGGUGCAGAAUGGGGUUUAUCCUGACCAUGACUCGAUUCUCCAUAGACACUUGCAGUCCUAGCAGAAGGUCACAAAGAAGAUGGAUCAGGGAUGCUGGGGACAGCACUCUGUCAGGACAGGCACUGGGCACUGCUGGACAGCAGAUGGAAGUCACACCCAGAGUGGUGUGCUGACAGAAGAUGGUCUGUGACCACUGAAAUGCUCCUUGUGCAGACACAGCAGGGUCUGCUUGAUCAUGAGCAAGAGGCAAACUCCUCUUGCAGAAACAACUGUCUCCACUCAGCACAGCUGCAUUUGGCCCCAGUGUGCACCCAGCACUGACCCAGCCAGAAAUGAGUUACGUGCUCCUCCCAGCCCCCUCCCAGCUCAGGUGCACUGAAUUGCAAUGCUGAGCUUAAAAAGGCUGGGGUAGAAUCCUGCUGUUCCUAUGGUGCAGCUGAGGAUGGAGCAAGAGGAAGAACAGGGGAGUGCUGUGCUUGCAAGGCCACUGCUGUUGGACAGAUACCUCUGUAAAACGUAGUAAGGUGCCAGAGAGAUUGAAGCAUUUUCUACAGAUGCUCCGGAAGAUUUUCUCCUCCUCUUUACAACUGCCUCUCUAUUUCAACAUACUUCAGGUAUCAAGAACUUACCUCCAGUAACCCCAAUUAUUUUCAUCCUUCCCUUUCAGCUGCCAUUAAAGUAACCAUUUCAGCUCCCCCAGUCUCCCAGCACCAAAGCUCCAGCUGCAAUAUUUAUGGAGCAACCAGGCUUGGGUCUAAUUAAAUCCCAGUGCAGACUGAUUUGCUUUCAGUAUUUGCUUGAUUACACCUGCUGUGGUAGGAGACCCUCACCUUGGCUUUGACCCACUCCAGCCACAGAGACCUUCCAUCACUGGCUGUGCACCGAAGCAACAAGCAUGAUGCUGUACAUGAGCUGGUAAGGGGUUUCCUCAGUGGGAUGAGACCCUAGCUGCCUCCCAGGGCUGGGUGGAGAAGCAGACAGCUGCCCCUUUCCAGCCAGGCCACGGGGGGCCAAAGACCCCAUUAACACUUCUGCUGGCUUUGGUGCACACUGUAGUGUUUUGGAGAGGAGGGAGCGCUGAUCCACCUCAAACCCAACUUGAGAAAAAUACUAAUUAUCUAUCAGUUACCAGCUGGCCAGCAUGGUGAGGGGCUGCCUGUGAGAAAACAGCCAAGAGCUGCUUACAGCUCUUGCAUGUAUGGGCAGCUCCAAGGAACUGUGAGUCCUGAUAGCUUCCAACAAACAGGCAGGCUGCUGGCAUGCCCUAUCUUGCACAGCCUCAGCUCCUGUCCUCCUCUCAGCCCCAUCAGCACAGCCUGCUGGAGGGGGGCUUUGAGCAUGAAGGGAAAACCUUAUUUUCAGCAUCUGUUCAUCGCUCUCUGCUAAUAAGAAGGCCAUUAAAAAUGAAAAUGAAGGCUUUGUAGAGAAAGGACUAGCACAGCAACUUUGGUUUAGAGUUGGUUGUGAUUUUCAAAAGCUGAGCUUGAUGCUGUGGAUAGAGACAGCCUGGGGAGUCAGGACCUUGCCACCCAUCUGCUGCUUGGCAUCUUUUUGCAAGAACAGAGCUGUUUCUGGCAAAUGCGGGUCUCAAAUCUAUGCACAAAGUCUUCAUCUCUCUCCCCACCUGAUCAUUUCAUAAAUUUAUAAAUUCACCAUUUCAAGGCUAGAAAGAACAGAUUUUGAUCUUAGAUUUUCUACACUGCUGGUCUGAGACCCCCACCUACCUGCUCUGGAUUGAGCCAACGGUAUCUGCUUGAAGUACAGCUUAUCUUUAAAAAGAUAUGUAGACUCUUAAUUUAAAUACUUAAAGAGUUGGAGAAUCCACCACAUUCCUUGGUAAAUUGUUCCUAUGGUUAAUUAUCCUCACUGUUUAAAAAAAAAAAAAAUUUACACUGUGCUUCUAGUCUGAAUUUGCCUGGCUUCAUCUUCCAAGCACUGGAACUCAUUAUGUCUUUUUCUAUUAGAUUAAAGUGCUGUCUGCUAUCAGAAACCAUCUCCUAUGCAGGUACUUGUAGACUGUGAUCAAGCCACCCUUACUCUUCUCUAGGAGAUCUUUAAUGCCAUACAUUUCUUUGGUAUCUCUCUAUAAGGCAUCUGCUCCAAAUCUUUCAUCUUCUUUGGAUCUCCCUCCCAGCCCUUUUCUAUUUUGUCAACAGCCUUUCUGAAGUGUGGACAUGAGAGCUGCACACACACCACGGCAGUGGUCUGGGCAGUGCUGUGUGUGAAGGCAGCCCAGCUCCCCCCAGCUAUGGUGACACCGUUCUGCUGAGCACUCAUGUCCUCAUGGUUCCUCAACCAUGGGCCCAACGCCUGCAGGAGUCUCCUUUUCUAAAUGGGGGAGCCUCAUUCACUUGGAUAAUGUCUCAGCUUGCAUUAUUAAAGGAUUGUUUAUCGUUUGCUUGAGCUGCAAACUUAAUCAACUUUAAUGUAUGCAUUUCCAAACCCAUGGGUAACCACAUGGUAGGAUUCUAUGGAACCUUGCAAUAUGGAAUGCAAACUCCUGCUACAGUUUGUUUUCCAGCUGACUUAUCCAUUGCUGUGGAUGGUACUAUACUGAGAAUGGAUAACAGAGUUUCCCAGAGAAUAUCCUUCAGAGGCAAAAGCCUUCAAAAAUAGGAGUCUGUUAGGCUACGUGCUAUGUAUCAAAAAACUAUGUCCAAUCACUUGACAAGACUGUCUGUAUUGAAUUAUUUGGCAUUUUCUGUGCACCAACUGUCAGUUCUUCGUUGGCUGGAGUCUUGGUCACUCAGCCCAAAACCGAGAGGCUGACGGAGCUGCUGAUCCACCAAAGCCUUGCAUUCACAGUGGAGGGCUCCCCGCAACUCUGAAACCAUGGAGGACAAAGCCA